rnacentral:tRNA from 1 species
GCGGGAUUAGCUCAGUUGGUAGAGCAGCGCUUUUACACAGCGAAGGUCGCAGGUUCAAGCCCUGCAUCCCGCACCA